rnacentral:rRNA from 1 species
GACGAAGGUGGCAAGCGUUGUUCGGAUUCACUGGGCAUAAAGGGCGCGUAGGCGGUUCCGAAAGUGGCAUGUGAAAUCCCCCGGCUCAACCGGGGAAGUGCGUGCCAAACUUCGGUUCUAGAGGACGGUAGGGGGGACUGGAACUCUCGGUGGAGCGGUGAAAUGCGUAGAUAUCGAGAGGAACACCGGCGGCGAAGGCGAGUCCCUGGUCCGUUUCUGACGCUGAGGCGCGAAAGCGUGGGUAGCAAACAGG